CUGGGAAGUGGAAGGCUGAGGCAGAGAGACACUACCAGCUGUCACCAUGGAAAGUGAGAUGUAAGAAUGCUGGUCCUGAUGCAACCACCAUCCACCUGGGCCCUCUCCAUUAUCCCAAGAGCUAGUGAAAUGCUGUCUCUGCAUUGACGGACCACAGCAUGAGGCCUCUGCUCCCACAGGUCCCUCCUUACCAUCUCAUGAUCCAGCUGCCCUGUGGAACUGAGUCCGUUUGUAACCGGGAGACAGCCAUCCACCUGUGCUAGUACUCCCGAGGUCUUCAGAGGUUGCUUCCCAGGUGUCCCCAAUCCAGACUAUCAAGCAUGACGUCAUGCCAUCUGCCACAGUCUUCCCUGUCUAGUACAGCUCCUCUUUGCAAUGACCAGAACCCACAGGGUCGUGGAGCGAGCUUCAUUACGGCUGCUGCUGAAGGGACCAUGGUGACCACACCCAUGUUCUGGCACUAAGUACGAAGAACUUUACACACACGAAUUCACUGUGUGCUUGAACAAGUGGGAGGCAGGCACUAACUCCCCCUACAGACGAGAAAGAAUGUGAAAGUUUCACCGAGGGGGUGCCUGCCUGGAAUUUUUAUCCCAGCUAUUCUCACAUAGAACACCUGUUUUUCACUGUUGUGAUAGGAUACAUAGGAACAUCUGGAUGCCAUUCCAUCCACCAACCUGCCUUUGUUCCUUUGCCCCUGUCUGUCUAACCCCUCACCCGCCCCCCCCCCCACACACAUAGGCAAUGGGGCCUUCAAAAACAGGACCUGCUUCUUUUUUUUGUCAGGGAGAGGUUUCGAGAGAGGGUUUCUCUGUGUAGCCUUGGCUGUCCUGGAACUGGCUCUGUAGAUCAGGCUGGCCUCGAACUCACAGAGAUCCUCCUGCCUAUACCUCCUGAGUGCUGGGUAUUAAAGGCGUGCACCAUCACCACCUGG